CCAGAUGAGGAAUGCGGCCCCUGCUCUGUCAAGUUUGAUAUCUGACAAUGAAAUAUUAUUAACGGCUGCUCUCACCCCCUUUUAAAAAUAGGGUUCAAUCUCAGUUCCUUUUCAUUCCUCAUCCCCUUAUGGAGAAAAUAAAUCUGCGGCAAGUUUAAGUAUACGUUCAAAUCUAGAUGAAUUCAAUGUGAAGAACAGUGGAAAAGGAGACAGUGAAUUGAAUGACAGCUAUUUGAAUAUCAGCAGAGAGGGCUUCAAGAAAAUGUUCUAUCAAAUGAUUGCAAAAUAAGGGUUUUAUUUCAGAUUAUUCAGGAUAAAAAGCAUUCAAAGAUCCUGAAAAAUUAAACCAGGAAUCUCAAACCAGCAAAAAUUGUUCAUCCCAUCAUGAAAAUAGGAACAGGACUGA
rnacentral:lncRNA from 13 species